rnacentral:tRNA from 1 species
GGACAGGUGGCAGAGUGGUUUAUCGCGCCCGCUUGGAAAGCGUGUGUGCUCGCAAGGGCACCGGGGGUUCGAAUCCCCCCCUGUCCGCCA